AUCUUGCCUCGGCAGGAUAUAUACUAAAAUUGGAAUGACACAGAGAAGUUUAGCAUGGCCCCUUGCGCAAGGAUGACACACAAAUUCAUGAAGCCUUCCAUAUUUUU
ensembl:snRNA U6 U6 spliceosomal RNA